AUGAACCUGCGAGGCGUUGUUGAGAUGGAUCUGUCGCAGAACAGCUUGUCUGGUGAAAUUCCAAGCUUCUUCGAGUCAUUCAGCUCUUUGCAGCUUCUGAAUCUGUCCUUCAACAACUUUCAAGGGCCAGUACCUACAACUGGUGUGUUUGGCAAUUCAAGUCUGGUGCUCAUCCAAGGAAACAAAAAUCUGUGCACAAAUUCUCAAAUGCUGCAACUACAACCUUGUAUUAAGUCCACAUUCAAAAGAAAAAGGAGUUCAUAUGUUCUAAUGGUGGUGGUCCCUAUUGUUACCAUUGUUCUAGUCUCACUCAUAUGUGUCAUAGCCAUUGUACACAGAAAGCGGGAAGCAACUAAACAACCAAUCAACCAGCAGUCCGAGGGGUGGAAAAGAUUUUCAUAUCAUGAUCUAUACAAGGCAACAGGUGGUUUCUCUUCUAUUAACCUGGUUGGAGAGCGAGGGUGUGGAUCUGUCUAUAGAGGUACAUUCUUGGCUGAACCCCGCAUAGCUGCAGUCAAGGUGUUCAGGCUUGAUCAAGAUGGAGCAUCAAAAAGUUUCAUUGCUGAGUGUGAGGCCCUGAAAAACACACGCCAUCGAAAUCUCGUAAGGGCGAUAAGCAUGUGUUCUACAUUUGAUCCAUCAGGAAAUGAGUUCAAAGCUCUAGUUCUUGAGCACAUGUCAAAUGGUAGCCUAGAAAGUUGGCUUCAUCCAGUAACAGAAAAUCAUGGCUCAAAAAGGCCACUGAAUCUUGGGUUAAGGAUAAGAAUUGCGACGGAUAUAGCUGCUGCCUUGGACUAUCUCCAUAACAGAUGCAUGCCUCCUUUGAUCCAUUGUGAUCUAAAGCCAAGCAAUGUCCUUUUGGACGAUGACAUGUGUGCUCGUGUUGGUGACUUUGGAUUAGCAAAGUUUCUUUAUGACCAUCCAUCCAAAAGCUUGAUAGGGGCAAGAGGAUCAAUUGGAUACAUUGCACCAGAGUAUGGCAUGGGUAGCAACAUGUCUACUGAGGGGGAUGUCUACAGCUAUGGAAUUAUUCUGCUAGAAAUGCUGAUGGGAAAGAACCCAACAGAUGAGAUAUUUAAGGAUGGACAUGGUCUCCACAAGUUUGUGGAACUGGCAUUUCCUCACAAGAUUGGUGAUAUUCUAGAGCCCAAUUUUAUUCCACAAUACCAGGACGAACACAAGUAA
rnacentral:rRNA from 1 species